AGUCGAGCGAACGGACGAGAAGCUUGCUUCUCUGAUGUUAGCGGCGGACGGGUGAGUAACACGUGGAUAACCUACCUAUAAGACUGGGAUAACUUCGGGAAACCGGAGCUAAUACCGGAUAAUAUUUUGAACCGCAUGGUUCAAAAGUGAAAGACGGUCUUGCUGUCACUUAUAGAUGGAUCCGCGCUGCAUUAGCUAGUUGGUAAGGUAACGGCUUACCAAGGCAACGAUGCAUAGCCGACCUGAGAGGGUGAUCGGCCACACUGGAACUGAGACACGGUCCAGACUCCUACGGGAGGCAGCAGUAGGGAAUCUUCCGCAAUGGGCGAAAGCCUGACGGAGCAACGCCGCGUGAGUGAUGAAGGUCUUCGGAUCGUAAAACUCUGUUAUUAGGGAAGAACAUAUGUGUAAGUAACUGUGCACAUCUUGACGGUACCUAAUCAGAAAGCCACGGCUAACUACGUGCCAGCAGCCGCGGUAAUACGUAGGUGGCAAGCGUUAUCCGGAAUUAUUGGGCGUAAAGCGCGCGUAGGCGGUUUUUUAAGUCUGAUGUGAAAGCCCACGGCUCAACCGUGGAGGGUCAUUGGAAACUGGAAAACUUGAGUGCAGAAGAGGAAAGUGGAAUUCCAUGUGUAGCGGUGAAAUGCGCAGAGAUAUGGAGGAACACCA
rnacentral:rRNA from 1 species